AACACCAAUGGCGUAGGCAGGAUACUGGACUAUUUCUGACGCUAAGGCACGAAAGCGUGGGGAGCGAACCGGAUUAGAUACCCGGGUAGUCCACGCCGUAAACUAUGGAUGCUAGCUGUGGGGGGUAUCGACCCCUUCCGUAGCGAAGCUAACGCGUUAAGCAUCCCGCCUGUGGAGUACGGUCGCAAGACUAAAACAUAAAGGAAUUGACGGGGACCCGCACAAGCGGUGGAGCGUGUUCUUUAAUUCGAUGAUAAACGAAGAACCUUACCAGGGCUUGACAUCCCUUGAAUUUUGUCGAAAGACGAGAGUGCUUUAUUGAGCAAGGUGACAGGUGAUGCAUGGCCGUCGUCAGCUCGUGUCGUGAGAUGUUUGGUUAAGUCCAUUAACGAGCGCAACCCUUGUGAGUAGUUGAAUUUUUCUACUCAGACUGCCCCGGCAACGGGGAGGAAGGAGGGGAUGAGGUCAGGUCAGUAUUUCCCUUAUGUCCUGGGCUAGAAACGCGCUACAAUGGCCGGUACAACGGGCAGCCAAGUCGUGAGACGGAGCUAAUCCCAUCAAAGCCGGUCCCAGUUCGGAUUGCAGGCUGAAACUCGCCUGCAUGAAGUCGGAAUCGCUAGUAAUCGCAAGUCAGCAAAUUGCGGUGAAUACGUUCCCGGGUCUUGUACACACCGCCCGUCAAGCCAUGAAAGUCACCAACACCCGAAGUCCGAUUCGUCGGCCUAAGGUGGGGGGGAUAAUUGGGGUUAAGUCGUAACAAGGUAACC
rnacentral:rRNA from 1 species